UAUCGGUUUCAUGGAGCGUCACGGCGGAGGGAGAGUGUCUCAAAAAACGAAAAUAUAAAAUGCAUUUCACCACAGACUACACAAAAACGUGUCCUUGUUUAAUAAGGAUGAAAAAUAAUGACAAUGUUACGCGCUGAACUGUUUGCAACAGUGAUUUCAGCAUUGCUCAUGACGGUUUAAACGACUGUAAAAGGUACGUCCAGGAAGGCCAACCGAAGACCGUGACCCCAGAGCUAAGCUGACAUGUACCCAAACACCCUGAUCACAGAGUUAAGCUGUCAUCUACUCAGAUGCCCUAAUUCCAAAGCCAGCAAAGUGGAAGUGCCCAAGCAUGGCAUGAUGAAGUUCCGCGAGGAGCGCAACCUCCUGGGCCUGGGCCUUGGGGCGGGCAGCUUCCAUGACCGUUAUUUCAUCCUGACCAGCACCUCCCUCAGGCUGUACAAGGAAGUUCGGAGGUAGGCUGCCAUCCACCCAAAUGCUCUGAUCUCAGAGACAAGCUGCUGUCCACCCAAACACGCAGGCGCCUCAGGUAAGCUCACAUCCACCCAAAUGUCCUAACCCCAGAGGUAGGCUGCCAUCCACCCAAAUGCUCUGAUCUCAGAGACAAGCUGCUGUCCACCCAAACACGCAGACCCCUCAGGUAAGCUCACAUCCACCCAAAUGCCCUAACCCCAGAGGUAGGCUGCCUGUGACCCAGCCCCCUGACCCCUGAGGUAACCUCGCUUCCACCUAAACACUCUGAUCUCAGAUGCAAGCUGACAUUUGCCCAAACAUCCUGAUCACAGAAAUAAGCUGCCAUCCACCUAAACGACCUACCCCUAGAGGUAAGCUGACAUCCAUCUAACUGCCUUGAUCCUAGGCUGCCCCAGUACGUCUAGGUGGUGACAAUCCAUCCUACAGGGUUGACAUGAUGUGCUUUCCUGAAGCACACAAAGGACACCUCGGGUUUUAUGAAUGUGUAUGACAGUGUUUUAGCCCGACCCUUGUGCAGAGGUCGGAAGUCUGCGGAUAUGUUCCUUUUUGAACUUUUUCUUUUUGUCUUAACUUUUUAUUGGCAUGCAUAUAAGGUAACAUUUUAAUUGUUUUAUUGGCCAUGUAAUUAGAUUUAAAUGGUGUAUAAUUGUAUUUGCUGGUGGAAUUGCUCUUUUGCCUGUUUUAAGGGUAAUAGUUCUGCAGGUAGUUCUACUUGUUAAAUGUUAUCCUUAAAAUUCUUAUUGUACUGGGUUGGCAUUGAUUUGCAUGGUGUUUCAGCCUUUUAGAUUGUGAUUUUGUGUUAAUGUAAGUAGUACAAGCAUAAUAUUUUUAAAAAAUCGGCGGGGUGCAGUCUGCAGGUAUCGCUUCUCGGCCUUUUGGCUAAGAUCAAGAGGAUUUUACUGACUUUUUACCGCUUUUUACGGACUGCGUCGGGUUUUUUAGAGGAAGGCACGGUGAACC